GGAAAAAGGACUAAAUGUUCUCAGGAUUGAAUAUAUUUGGUUUGCUUAUGUUUUACCUUUAAAAAAAAACAUUUUUUAAAAAUCAGAUUAUAGUAGAUUUUACAGUGCAAAGUGAUGUGAGACUGUUAAAGUAUUGUCAUGCACAUGGUUACAGACUGCUAUAUCAUUCUUUAUUAUGAAAUGAUAAUCUUGUAAGAAAUCCCCCUUUUGCUGGAUGUGUCUGUAAUCUGAUUACAUUUUCUUUUUUUCUGUUACAACCAAGAUAUACAUACACACACAUAUGCAUGUAGUCAUCAUGUUAUAUUAAAGCACUUCCUCAUCUGUCUAGGUGAACAGUGGGACUUGUCUUCAGCUUCAAGUGGAACAGCACUGACCUGUAUGGUGAUCAGACCUGGAGAGGAGAGACAUCUGCCAACCAGGUGAUGGACGGUUGACAGGACGACUCACCAAGACGAACAAGACGAGCCAAACAGUGGAGAGGGGCCGCCACAGGAGCCUGAAGGGAAAGUAACGAGAGCAGCCAGGAGCUGAAAGCGUGGGCAGAGGAACAGGCUGCUGAGGACGAGUUGGACGACGGUUUCAUAAAGUGAAUCUUGAUUUCCUGUAAUCGAGCUUUGUGGACUGACAGUUUGCAUGGUUGGUGCUCGGCCCGGGACAAGAGAGACACCUGGUCCAGUAAGGUGAUGGACGGUUGACAGGACGACUCACCAAGACGAACAAGACGAGCCAAACAGUGGAGAGGGGCCGCCACAGGAGCCUGAAGGGAAAGUAACGAGAGCAGCCAGGAGCUGAAAGCGUGGGCAGAGGAACAGGCUGCUGAGGACGAGUUGGACGACGGUUUCAUAAAGUGAAUCUUGAUUUCCUGUAAUCGAGCUUUGUGGACUGACAGUUUGCAUGGUUGGUGCUCGGCCCGGGACAAGAGAGACACCUGGUCCAGUAAGGUGAUGGACGGUUGACAGGACGACUCACCAAGACGAACAAGGCGAGCCAAACAGUGGAGAGGGGCCGCCACAGGAGCCUGAAGGGAAAGUAACGAGAGCAGCCAGGAGCUGAAAGCGUGGGCAGAGGAACAGGCUGCUGAGGACGAGUUGGACGACGGUUUCAUAAAGUGAAUCUUGAUUUCCUGUAAUCGAGCUUUGUGGACUGACAGUUUGCAUGGUUGGUGCUCGGCCCGGGACAAGAGAGACACCUGGUCCAGUAAGGUGAUGGACGGUUGAAAGGACAAAUCAUCAACAAGAGCCAAACAUUGGAGAUGAGCUGCCACAGGAGCCUGAAGGACAAGUAACAAGAGCAGUCAGGAGCUGAAAGUGUGGGCAGAGGAACAGGAUGCUGAGGACGAGUUGGAGGACGGUUCCCUGAACUGAAUCCUGAGAUCCUAUAAUCAAGUUUUGUGGACUGACAGUGUGUAUGGUUGGUGCUCGGCCCAGGACAGGGGAGACAACUGGUCCAAUAAGGUGGCGUUUGAAAGGCCGUAUUACCAAGACAAACAAGACGAGCCAAACAAUUCAGACGAGCCACCACAGGAGCCUCAAAAUGAGAGGAGCCGUGAGCUGAAAGUGUGGGCAGAGGAACAGGCUGUUGAGGAGGAGUUGGACGACAGUUACCUGAGCUGAAUCCCAAUUUCCUGUAAUGAAGUUUUGUGGAGUGACAUGUUGUCUAGUUGGUGCUCGGCCCAGGACAGGAAGGCCCUGCAGUGGGUGAUCCAUCCACCCACAGAGCAUCAGUGACAGUGACGAGGUCUCUUCCUGCUGAUCCCGGAGGUGAUGACAGUGUCAUCCUGUCAAGAACGUCGGUCAUGAAUAUUUUAGAAGCUGGAUGAAGUCAACAGCUGCCUAUAAAGAGGGGGGGUCCUCAGCACAGGACACGUCCACACGUCUAGAGAUCCUCCACCGAUUGAAGAGAAAAGGUCUCCACCCUGUUUGUGUUUUUCA